rnacentral:rRNA from 1 species
CAGUCGCCGCGGUAAUACGGAGGGUGCAAGCGUUAAUCGGAAUUACUGGGCGUAAAGCGCACGCAGGCGGUCUGUCAAGUCAGAUGUGAAAUCCCCGGGCUUAACCUGGGAACUGCAUUUGAAACUGGCAGGCUAGAGUCUUGUAGAGGGGGGUAGAAUUCCAGGUGUAGCGGUGAAAUGCGUAGAGAUCUGGAGGAAUACCGGUGGCGAAGGCGCCCCCCUGGACAAAGACUGACGCUCAGGUGCGAAAGCGUGGGGAGCAAACAGGAUUAGAUACCCCGGUAGUCCCUUCUCUUAUACA